rnacentral:lncRNA from 1 species
CUAACAUACAGUCGCGUCAGGUCUGCACCAAGAUAGUUUUACAUCUUCCUUUUCACCUACUGACCCUUAAAUUUCUUUUGGGGGACUUUGCCACUGGCCAGGUCUUCCAGUACAAUGCUGAAUAGAAGUAAUGACAGCGGACAUCAUUUCUUUUUUCCAGAUCUUAGAGAGAAAGCUUCAAUAUUUCACCAUUAAGAUGUUAACUGGAGGGUUUUCAUAGAUAUUCCUUAUCAGAUUGAGGAAGCUUCCUUCUAACCGCUGGUUGGUAAGAAUUUUAACCAUAGACAGCUGUUGAACUUAUCAAAUGCUUUUUCUGCAUAUAUUAAGAUGAUCAUAUAUCUUUCCCUUUAUUCUAUUAAUGUGGCAAAUUAUAUUAAUUGAUUUACAAAUGUGAAACCAAUUUUUAUUCCUGAGACAAACCUCAUCUGACCAUUAUGUAUUAUCUUUUUUAAUAUUGUUGAUGGACAUGAUUUGCUUAUAAUGAUUGAUAACUUUCCAUCUAUAUCCAUGAAGGAUGUUGGUUGAUAAUUUUCUUAUAAUGUCUUUGCCAGGUUUUGAUAUCAAGAUCAUGCUGGCCUCUUAAAACAUAUUGAGAAAUAUUUCUUCUUCUUCUAUCCUCUGAAAUGAUUUGUGUAAAAUUUGCAGUAUUUCAUAAUUAAAUUUUUUAAAAUAGUUUAUCAUUAAUGAUAUUUACUAUAAAGAUAGUACAUUUACAUUUACAGUAAAUACAGUAAAGCCUACAGUUUCUCUAUGAAGUUUUUAAUUAUGUUAUUUUCUUUAACAGAUAUAGAACUAUUUACAUUUUCUAUUUCUCCUUGAGGUUCAGUUAAGUUUUGCAUUAAAAGGAAAGGAGGUUAGAACUUAGCUCUGUUUUACAACAUUCAAAACCAUGAUCUUGUUCAUUCUCACUUCACAGCGUCCUCCUUCCAAAGGGCCAACUUCCUACCCCGGAGAUCAGUGGAGCCCAUGGAGUAGUCGCCAGUUGCCUCAGCAUUUCCAUGGAAGCACUGCAAGGUGCUUUUUUCUUCUCCACUGACCAAUAUGCUUUGAAGAACUUUCACGUAAGUACAUGUGGUUAUAGUCAGGGGUGAGAUUGAAACUACUU